rnacentral:lncRNA from 10 species
UUGCAACUAGCUUACACUCAUUUUACUUAAAAGUAUGAAGGCUAUAUUUUUUAUUUAUUUUCUUCUUCAUUUUUUUCUGAUGUCAGAUUUGCCAUUUUGUUUCCCAUGUCCCUUUACUCUAUGGGUCUUGUUUUAGGUCUUCUGCUCACGGUGCUUCUUGGAAUAAGGAAAGUUCUCUCUAGACCAGAGUUCUGCCCAAGAAUCGGGGACAGAAUGAGCAAGUAUGAUCUGGAGAAGCUAUCAGUUUCCACUUUGGUAUAUUAUCUCGGAAAGCUGUUGAAGCAAAUCAGCCACAUUUUUUCUAUUUGAGUAUUUGGUUCUGCUAAGCUUUCAGCAUCCCCUUUGGAUCAUCUUGGUUCACAGCAAGCCCAUAUCUCACACAUCCUCUGUUUCAUGAUUGGCAGUUGUUGUUUCUCUCUUCAAAUGACUGUGAUAAGCAGACUCACAGGAUCCAUAAAACCUUUCAAGACAGAGAGAAGAUUAGACUAGCUUUAGGCAUGCUGUCAUGGAGAAGAUGGUGGUUCUUCCCUUCUUUUUCUUCAUAUUGAUGGACACUUUCAUAAAGAGAAGCAAGGUGAUGACUCCAUGGAUCUGCGAGGGCCUGGGAUCUGCAUCUCUAGCAAUCUCCCAGGUGAUGCCAAUGCUGCCGGGGAGGACAGCUGGAGAAACAAGAGGCUUUCUAGGACACCACAUGCAGGAGGGUUGGGAGAGCUGCAGAAGUAGCUAAAACAGAAAACAGCAGAGUCUCAUCACAGCAGGGCUGGAGCAAGAGCUGGCUGGAAGAAUGGACUUUGCAGGGGGAUGGAAAAAAGCCUUAAUGAAUCUUACUCUCUGACUGAAAUUUGGAGAUUAAAUUCAAACCUUUCAACCUCAUCACAAUUAUCUCCCGAAUUUGCCCAUAACAGCCUGGUAUAGAGCAAUGUCUUCCUCCCAUUCCCACCAUCUUUAACUAGAAUGCAACAGUUCUAGGGACUCUCUUUCUAGAACAGUUGUUCUAAGUGUUGUUGCUGAGCCAGUAACAUCUGCAGCACCUGGGAAGAUGCUAAAAAUGCAAAUUCUUGGGCUCCCUCAGAUCCACUGAAUCAGAGACUUAGGAGGGUGGGGCCCAGCAGGCUGUGUUUUAACAAACCCUCUGCAUGAUUCUAAUGCAUGCUGUAGAAUCACCAGUUACAUAUUUAUUUGAACAGAGACUUUUGGCAGAUAGAGACUUCACCAUGGAGCUAAGUAACUCUCAGCAUGCGGAGAAUUAAUGUUUUAACCUUAGCACCAGCGCUAAGGAGAUCCAUAAUGAAGUGAAACAUCUUGGGGACUGACCCAGGGAGUAGAAUAAUUCUAGAAAAAAAAAAAGGUUGAUAUGAGAUGUAGAUGUUAUACAGAAUUGUGGAUCAAAAUUAAAUGAUAAAAAAUCAACAGAAAAAGAAGAAGGAAAAGGGAGAGGAAGAAGAAGAGGAGAGCCAUUUUUAAUACCCUAGAAAUUUCACUUAUAAUGAAAUUGGGUUGGCAACUACCUCUGGCUCCAAGUGGUAACUAAAUACAUUUCUAAAACUUUUUUUUGGAUACACAAUAUUUUUAUUUUGACUAUUUAGGUUGGGUGUUGUACUAUUUUCUAUCUAUCUGAGGAGCGAGGCACCUUUAUUUGAGACCUACGUGAGCAUUUUAUUUUUAGGAAAAUCAGUUUCAGACUGCACUGUACCAAAAGCUCUAUUUGUAAGUCAUAUCUUCAGUAAGCUUCAUGUCUUUCUAAAGUGCUAUGGUCCUCUUGCCUGGACUUAUUAGAGCAUCACAGCUGGGCCAGAUGUCUGUUGCCAACGAGCUGCAGAGAGAUUCUAGGGUAUAUUAGACGUCUGGACUUCGGUACCUUUAAAGUUUGUUUCCAACAUUAAAAUUCUCUCAUCACAAAUUAGGCUCUGAAAAGACACAAGAGUCAUUAUUCUCAAUGUUUAUGCCCAUGAUAAAAUGGUACGGUUGUAGAAUAUUGGGAAGUAAACCUGAUCGUGAGAUGAAAUUGGAAAUUGUCUUGGUGAUAAAUGCUCACUCCAGGCAUGUUUCUUUUCUCUUUCCUCUUUCUCUUUAAGGAACAUACAGAAAAAGAAGAUCUGUUAUUUGAAGAGGCUUGUACCUAGAUUUCAGUUAAGCAAAUAGCUACAAAC